UUGGCGCGUCCGCCGCCCGCGAAGUUUCGAGGAUGUGCGGUUCUAUUCCCUCACAGGAUUUUCUCCACCCAUCUUUGUAAGCAUCGUCCAGACGAGGACUUAUUUUCUAAUUUGCACCUCCUAAAAAUCUGUUCGUCUGCGUUAUUUCUCCAGGACUGGCGCUAAGGAGGCCGGCUAGUAGAAUCCCCGUAUGUCAUUGGCUCUCGAGGAUGUCAUAAUAGGCCUCUGUGAUCUCUGAUUGGCUCCUUAAAACGAGGCUCCGCAUUUCCCCCACGGAUCGGCUCUCGCUCUCCUGGGUGAGGAGGAAUGUGCACUCUGACACAGUUGAUUUAGCCUGUUUCACAGAACCCGAGGUUGGACUCCUGAGGUCGUGGUGGCCUGGCUGGGAUCGCGUUGCCAGCCCACAGACCUUUUGGCGUGUAUCUCUCGUGGUCUUGUUCACAGCCAUCAUCAGCCUUCACCACUUCACUGCACGUCCCCCUCUCCCUUUGUGCGUGUUUCUUGGAGCACUAGCAGCUGGAGUCACCUGUAGAUUGCUUUGUGCAUGGCAAUCCCACACUCGCCGAAGGUGUUCACAGAGGGAGCACGGCCAAGGCCUCUGGCCCAGGAAAGUUGAGCAAGACCUGGCAGCCCUCCUGCAGAAGUGCGCUCUUUUUCGCUCCCAUAUGAAGAGUCUCUUUGCCCGAACGCCAUACCUCCCUCUCUUGUUUUGGAAGGCACCAUGUUUAUGUGGCAGAAAUAUAUGUUUUUGAGCUCAUCACUAGAGAUGCCACUUAAAGCAGGAGAACUUUGAUGAAAACACCAACAGAGUCAUAGUUUUCGUUCACUGAGAAUUGCUUCUUGGUGUGGAAGAUGUAGCUUUGUCGCCACCUGGUGACUAUCCGUGUGAUUACAGUGGUAGAUACAUGGGUUUCCUCAUCCAUGUAUCAAUGAAACUCCGAGAUAGAAGACCUCUGAAUGUCCGGGAAUCCCAAAUCUUCGAAUUGCCAAACCCUUCUUCACUCAGAGGUUUUCUGGCCCUUACUUGAACACCUCCCUGAUGGAGAGUUCUCUGCCUAACCAGACAGCCACGUCUAUUCUUGGACAUCUCUCACUAUCCCGACUGAUAACGCUGAGAUGUGGAGACGAGGGAACCCUGGAACUGACGUGUGGAUAAUUUGUGUUCUUGGGUAGAAGAAAUGGAACAGAAACCGUGUUCAUAGAGGAAAUCGAAGGAAACAUUCCCCAAAGUGAAGGUAAGAAAACAGCCCCAGAGAAGGAAAUUGACAUGCUCCAGGUCACAUGGAGUUACGGUCGGAGGUGGGAUUCUGCUCCUGUUGUUCUCUUGGAGUUGUGAGAACAUAGGGUUGAGGAAGGAUGCAGAGAUGCCGCCAUGGACCUGCUGGCCCGGAGGACCCUGUCCCACCUUCUGAGUCUCGGCUUUUUGCUUCAUGGGGACCAGCGGGAGGCAGUUGGUGACUAUAGCUACUAAGGAGUCCAGAUAAAGUCUGAAGCAGAGAGAAAGCACUGUAACGCUGUACAAGGUUAAGCGGACCCACCUAAUGAAGCACUAAAGUGGGAAUGUGUGGAAGGAAGAGCAAUCGAAAAGCCAGCGGCCCGGAGGCUGAGAGUGAGGGAAGGACAGAGAGGGAGUCUGGGGACGCAGUGCAAUUGGGCAUUUGAUGGAUACCUCCCGUGUGAUGACCAGGGAACCCAGGCUCCUUUCAUCUCUUGGAUCUGACAUCUCAAAGGAUUGUGAAGAGCAAGUUACGAAGGACCGCCUUCUGCUAGGUGGACACGUGUGAUGACAAGGCUGGUGGAUCUAUCCAUCCCAAGGAGGGAACAUGGAAAAAGCUAUCCUCCAGCCAGGAAUAUCUGCUUGGAUUGCUACAUUUUGGCUGCUAGUUAUUACUUAAGCCAAACUUAGCCUACUCUAAUAGAAAGGUUAAAGGUCCCUGGAGUAGAGUAAGGAGGUGAUUGAUCCCCAUCCUGGGGACCUAUUAAAGCCUUCUGCUUCUGCGUGGCUCUGUCCCUAGCUGCCAUGUUGGAACUCACCUUUUAGAGAGGCCAGAAGAUCUAGGGAAAGAUCAGAAUCUUUGAAAUCAUGCAGGCCUAAAUUUUAUCUUUGUCCGCAUGUCUUGCUAGCCAUGGGAUCUUGGGCAAGUCAUUUACCUUCUCAGAGUUUCCUCAUCAAAAUAGGGGAUAAUUAAUAAAGAUGUAAAGAUGAAAUGGGCUAGUUAUAGAACAGUAUUUGCCCAUAGUAGAUGCUACUAUGCUCUUUGUUUCCUUCCUGGUCUGAUCUAGAAACAUUUUUAGAACCUGGAACCUUACCAACCCCUCAAAACGGGGAUCAAUUAUUCCUCCUGAGGCUUCACCUCUUUUUAUCCUCAUUUGAUAGCUGUACCUAGGGCAUAUUCUAGAAGAGACACUUUGCCUCCUUAGUAUGUCCCUACCACUCCAACUUCCAUCCGAGAAUGCUGUCGGCCUCCAUGGGCUAUGGGGGAUGGGCUGGUGGACAUCUCUUAGAACCCACAGUACCAACCCAUGAAGUUUGUUGGAGGCCAGGAGGUGACUGGAUUUUAUCCUGAGUGCAACCAGAAACCUCUGAAGUAUGUUAUUACUUGAGAGAAGAAUGACUUCAUUUUCAUUUUAAAAGAGAUGCCUUUUCUUUUUUUCUGUUCAGUGGAGGCAAAUUGUAGACAUGCUGGACUAGAAGCAGAAGACCUGUUAGCAUGGAGGUAGUUGUGAUGAAGCGAGGUAGACAGAUUUAGGAAAUACAGAGGGUGCCAGAAAAAAUGUAUACACAUUUUAAGAAAGGAAAAAAA